UACGUAGGGAGCAAGCGUUGUUCGGAUUUACUGGGCGUAAAGGGCUCGUAGGUGGCCAACUAAGUCAUACGUGAAAUCCCUCGGCUUAACCGGGGAACUGCGUCUGAUACUGGAUGGCUUGAGAUUGGGAGAGGGAUGCGGAAUUCCAGGUGUAGCGGUGAAAUGCGUAGAUAUCGGGAGGAACACCAGUGGCGAAGGCGACUACCUGGCCCACUCUUGACGCUGAGGCGCGAAAGCUAGGGGAGCGAACGGG
rnacentral:rRNA from 1 species